UAUAAUUAUAUUUAUUUAUAUUUGCAAAGUUAUUUUCCUCUAUUUUAGUUCUCGUAAUAUACAUAAUACAGUAGAUGCAGAGGGUAUCGAUAGAUACAUAGGUAGGAUCACUUAUAAGCCCGAAGUACAUAUGUGCAGGCAGCAGCCUUUCUGGGCAUUAGAUGGUCGGGCUAAGGUCUUAGAGGUCUCCUGGCAACCAAGCCUAUCAAACUAUCUUACGGUCUAACCCUUACAAACCCCUUAUACCCUAAAAACCUUCCUCAACCCCCUGGAAUCUCACUUCGAGCCCUUAACGACCGAUCCCACGAGAGACACUGCAAAAUUGAGAAAAUUAUCCUGCUUCGCGUUAUACGUAGACGAUAACUGCACGAUUCUCACACUGUCUAAAGCGAGCAAGCAAACGUAUAUAUCUGUAUAUACAUAGAAAAGCUUCUCUAUGUAUGAGUUUUCGAGAUGCAAGUUGAAACGUUGAAUGGGAGGGUGGAACUAAAUGGCCGACGGGUCGCUGCCAUCUUAGUUGCGAAUUAAGGAAAGGGUGCCGGACCCUCGUUGGAAACUAACUCUUGCACGAAAAGGGGAUGGCUGCGUUGCGCUGCAUCGUACUUCCCUUUGCGGCUUAGCCUGCAUUGACGCCAUUAUGUGCGUUACGCUACCUUUCUGUUUACAGCCAUUUUUGGAAGGUGAACAUUGCAACCAAAAAACGAUGCAAAUUCAAACGCGUUGAUUUGGAAUGAAGAAGGAAAAUACAUGGAUAUUGUUAAAUAAUCAUUUAUCAUUAAUUUUAAAUAAAAUAAAAUCAUCCUUUAUUGUUUCUCAGUUUGUAACGCGUUUUAGAAAUUUCGCGAAUAUUAAGAUAAGAUCUUUAACAAAUUCGUGGUUGAAACGUUUCGAGAGCACGCGUUGCCGGAUAUUAUUUUUAGCGCGGAACCGUGUUUCCGCAGCAAAUUGUAAUAUAAUUUGGACUUGAGUUAAAUGGCACGUGGAAAUGAUUCCAUUCCAUUACUCUAGAAUACCACGAACUUGGUACAAACUAGAUUUCUCACUCCGUAUGGUAAACGGUUGGACUUGUAUUAAGAUGUAAGUUCGCCAUUCGGAAACGAACUAAACUAAAUUGAUAUUUAACCUGUCCUUCAGCCGAACCGGAGAGAGAUAAGAGCGAGAGGAAGAAAUCAUAAAAUGAAUUCGGUAUUUAUACCAUUUUGAUUAAAUUUAACUAAAUAUAUGAUCAUAAAAUUAAAGAUACAAAUAAAGGGGUAGAAAGAUUUUAAACUCGUUGAAAUUAUGAGGGUUACGAAACGAUCGCGUUUGUUUUCCUGAAUACAAUGAACCAUGAACUCGUCGUGUCUCUCUCGCGUUAACUCCUUCCUGUAUGUAAGUUUCAUCUAGGUGAAUAACAGAGAUAGAGAGAAAGGACACAAGUGUGCAGAUCGUAGAGGAACACCAACGACCAAAAGGGUCGGCCUGUCGUCGUUCUAGCACGGUUACAGCGGCCGCGAAGGCUGACAGAAGUUGUAAACUUUAUGGUAAACCGUAGCGGCGACUGUCAGCCACGGCCGGUAAAUGGUGAAGGUGCCGGUGCAGCCGUGUGCUUAAUCCAAUCCGGAGUUUGUUCUUUCGGCGAUCGACGUAAUCACUGGCCACACGUAGUUUCCAACCUGCUAGUACGACCGACCUAACGCUUCGUUCUAAGGAGCUCGGAUUUAUAGGUCGAAGAGAACUAUAUGAAUUUCAACGUACUAUAAUUUCAAGCGAAUCCAUUGCAGAAAUAUCGCAGUAUUAGAUUUCCGUACUUUUAGUCAAACGAAAUUGCAAUCUAUCGCUCUUCGAAAGUACAUAUAGACAAAUAAAUGGAUGUAACGAGGGGAUGCACCAAAAUCUAUAGCUCGUCACUAUAUUUUCGAUCAAUAAUGUACCACAGUAACAUUUAUAAACGCUAUUGCAAACCUUACCAAAUAUUCAAUUACCUAUCGUUUCGAUGAAAUUAACGAGAAAGCAAAGAAACAAUCUGAUUAUUUCCACUCAAUUUGCGCGGAUUGUCGGAGUGUAAUUAAAAAGUCUGGUUAUCCUGGAUUCAACAGGUUACAUGGAUAAUUCGAGUGCUGAUCGGUUAAUCCUGAAGCUAUAAAAAUAGCGAUUGCUGCUAAUGAAACUGAGAAAUUUUUUUGUGAGAAGGAAAAACUAGUUGAUAGAAAUAAGUUCCUGAAGGAAGUAUUGUCUAUCUCAAUUUCUCUCUUUUGUGUGUGCGCGUCCAUAGGGAAUUCAUUUAGGUAUAGUGAGAAGCUACCUCUAUUCAGGGGUGUUUCGGCUGGGACGCGAUUAAUUAUGGGGUUCCUUUUGGGGAUGCCGAGCUCGAGGCUUUGAGCCCAGUCGGGGGUGGCACGUAGGGUGGGAAGUAUAAGAUACGUUCACGGCCAACGUAGAAACCCAGCUUAGCUUCCUCGAGUAUUAGAUCAAUAAUUCUAACCUCGAAUUGCUCAGACACGAAUGUCGAAAGGGAUUCUCGAAGUAAUGCGAUAUUAGUUCUCGUCUAGUGAUACUUGUACUAGUCGAGAUCGUUUUACUACGAAAGUAUGAAAUUUCAAAAUAAGAUCGGGUGAUUUGUUUUCAUAAAGAGCCAUAAAAUGAGAAGUAAUGGUAUAUAAAUUCAAAUAAGACAUCCAUCCGCGGAAUUGUAAUAUAGGUAUGUAAUUAAUAAAUUGAUCAGAACACUGCA
rnacentral:lncRNA from 1 species